AGAGGUGUGGCGAAAUUGGCAAACGUUGGCGGUGGUGCUGCCAAACCACCUUGCGGGUUCAAGUCCCGUCACCUCUC
rnacentral:tRNA from 1 species